rnacentral:lncRNA from 1 species
UCCAGCGCAGCUUCUUAUGUGGUCACACUUGCUAUGAUGUAAUCAAUCAAAUGAAGACUCACAGAAAAAUUCAUUAACUCAGCAAAGAAAAGCCUCCUUCCAGGUGCUUAGCUGAGUUAUUACUAUUGGAAGGAAGAGGACACAUGGUGAGCAGGCUGUGGCUAAGGCAAGCAGGGGACCCAGCCGUGGCAGCUGUGGGAAUUUCAACAACGGAUGGAUCAAAGUACCACAUUUCUUCACAGCAGACUUGUGAAAUGCCAGAGGUCAAAAUCAUUAUGUGCUGGGA